rnacentral:rRNA from 1 species
GACGAACGCUGGCGGCGUGCUUAACACAUGCAAGUCGAACGAUAACUUCCGAUCUUGUUCGGUCUGGUUAGUUGCGAACGGGUGAGUAACACUUGAGCAACCUGCCCUUCACUCUGGGAUAUCCUCAUGCAAUCUAGUCUAUUCCCGCCUAUGAGCUCUUGCCUCUUGGUGGGCGUUGGAUAGUUUUUCUGGUUGGGAUGGUCUCGCCGCGUCUCAGUUUGUUGGUGAGGUAGUGGUACACCAAGGCUAUGACGGGUAGCCGGGCUGAGAGGGCGACCGGACACACUGGGACUGAGAUACGGCCCAGACUACUACGGGAGGCAGCAGUGGGGAAUAUUGCACAAUGGGCGGAAGCAUGAUGCAGCGAAGCAGCGUGAGGGAUGACGGCAUUCGGGUUGUAAACCAAUGUCAGCAGGGAAGAAGCGAAAGUGACGGUACCGGGAGAAGAAGCGCCGGCUAACUACGUG